CUUGUGUACAAUUUGGAAAUUAGUAUGGCGUUCAUUAUCACUGAACUAGUAUAUAUUUGUUUAGGGGCCAGCUGAAGGACGCCUCCGGGUGCGGGAAUUUCUCGCUACAUUGAAGACCUGUUGGUGACCUUCUGCUGUUGUUUUUUUCUAUGGUCGGGUUGUUGUCUCUUUGGCACAUUCCCCAUUUCCAUUCUCAAUUUUAGUAUAAUUAUCAACA
rnacentral:lncRNA from 1 species